rnacentral:rRNA from 1 species
AACGAACGCUGGCGGCAGGCCUAACACAUGCAAGUCGAGCGCCCCGCAAGGGGAGCGGCGGACGGGUGAGUAACACGUGGGAAUUUUCCUCAAGGUACGGAACAACUCAGGGAAACUUGGGCUAAUACCGUAUGAUGCAGAGAUGCCAAAGAUUUAUCGCCUUGGGAUAAGCCCGCGUCAGAUUAGGUAGUUGGUGGGGUAAUGGCCUACCAAGCCUGUGAUCUGUAGCUGGUCUGAGAGGACGAUCAGCCACAUUGGGACUGAGACACGGCCCAAACUCCUACGGGAGGCAGCAGUGGGGAAUCUUGCGCAAUGGGCGAAAGCCUGACGCAGCCAUGCCGCGUGAAUGAUGAAGGUCUUAGGAUUGUAAAGUUCUUUAGCCUGUGACGAUGAUGACGGUAACAGGAGAAUAAGCCCGGCUAACUUCGUGCCAGCAGCCGCGGUAAGGUGACGCCUCU